rnacentral:rRNA from 1 species
AUGGGGUACUAUCUUGCCGACGGUAUUUUUUCUCCAUGGUCAACAUUUGUGAAGACCAUUAGCGACCCCAAAACCAAGAAGCACAAUUUUUUUUUGCCGAAGCACAAGAAGCUUGCCGAAAGAAUAUUGAGAGGGCAUUUGGUGUGUUGCAAGUUCGGCUUGCCAUUGUUCGACGUACCUCUCGCUUCUGGGAUAAGAAAUCCCUAG